rnacentral:lncRNA from 1 species
UUAAUAAAUUUUUAAAAUUUUUAAUAUUAUAAUAAAAAUGACAAGAUAAAUAUGUAAUAAUGGUCUUUGAAUGAUCCGUUAAAAAAUUUCAUCAUUUUCGGAAUAUGCAGAUAAAAUUACUCCAAAUCAAUAAGUACGUAGUCACUUAAAAAAUAAGAUAAAAGUAAACUUGAAAUACCACUUAUAUAGUUUCACACUUUCUCACUUUAAUAUCAUGUAGUUUAAAGUGUAUCAAUUUAAUAUUCUGUGGUUUUAUUUUUAUCUUUUCGUCAGUUCCUCCGUUAACAUUUCGUUAAAUUAUAUACAAAAACUUCAAAUACUCCAUCAAGAUUUAUUGAAUAUUCAUUGUAGAGUCUUUUAGUUUUAAUUUUGUCACUAAUUUAUGAAAAUAUUAGCGAAGGGGAUAAUAAAAAAAACAUAAAAUCAGAGUACUAAAUUAAUAUAUUUUAAAUUAUAAGAUAUUAAAAUAAAAAAGUGUGAAACUAAAGGAGUGGUAUUCGAAGUUUUUUAAAAAAAUAUAUGUAUAAGGAAAGUGGAUGAGCCAACUUUAAAAU